rnacentral:lncRNA from 1 species
GGGGGCGGUCCAGAAAUACCGGAAGCAAGAAAGGAAAAGCACAAAGCUUCCCUUCCAAGGUGCUCAUCAGGCGGGAGAAAGGUAGGUGCCUUUCAGUGUGUUUACAAUGUACUCCAUCUCAGCCCUCAGCCUUCCUUAACUCAUCCGCCCCCACCCCCAGCUUUCUGAAGAGCAACAUGUAAUUAGAGCACUAACGAGGUCAUUUAGCAGAAACCAUGGGUAGGGAGUAAUGAGUGUGCUAUCAGGCUUGGAGAACAGCUUGGGCAAAAAUCCAAACAGUCCAUGUUCAACUCUGAUGAGCCGACCUAAGCUUGGAAAACAGAGUUUAGAGAAAGGUUAAUAAUAGGACACACAGAGACACACAGACAACAAUAACAACAACAGCAACAACAAAAUCAAACAAGCCCUAAAGCUUUCUCCCUAGACUCCCAAGGCAAAAGGUCUGAGGGCCUAAGCGCAGCACUUAAGAGCUGGUUCGUAGGGAGAAGCUGAGUUCCUCUGUCUCUUGUACCUAGCAAGGCCACUUGAUCAACUCAGGGUCAUUCCUGGGGCCUGGUGCAAUGCAAAACCUGGAAUGGACUUCCGAGCUCAGCCAAUUCAACCUCCUCUGCACAUUUCACACAGUUGAACUUAGAGCACUCCAGCAC